GGGCGCGGGGCUGCCGUGAGGGAGGGCGGCGGUGCGGCCGCCCCGGUCCCGGCCCUUUUCCCUUCCCGCCCGGCUCCGGGCAGCGCCGAGGCUGCUGCUCUCCUCCGCGCGGCGCUGGAGGCCAGGAACGCUUCCCUGUGAGCGCGGUGCCCUGCAGGUUCCUCUGUCAGAGCCGAGCUUUGUAUUCCUGAGAGGGAGCACUGACGCCCCCCGCCCCACACACACACACACACGCAGAGCCGGGAGUGCGGAGGUUCGGGGCGGCCGCUCGGUGCUGCGGGGCCGGUGUCGCAGCGAGUGACCCGGCUUGUGAGGCGAAGCCUCGCACGGAGAUUGACGGCCUGAGUGGUUAUUGAGGAAAUCCAUGGCAUUUCUUUCUGUUUCAUCAGCAUCCCCCGCCAGCCCCGGCUGUGCGUGCACUCACGCAAGAUGAGUACAGAGUAAGGAAUUGUUUCCCUCUGGGUGCAAGAGCGGUGAAGCAGCGAGGUACCAUGGGCCACCUCCCUCACACAAGCAAGGAAUAAAUGGUUGCAGCUGUGGGGUGUUUUGUGGAAGGUGGAGAGGGCUGCUUGCUGCCUGGUGCUGUCCCUACACCCAGCGCAUUUCAGGGAUAACAUAACCAGGGUGAGAAAAGGUUUCUGAAAACACUACAGCUGCUGAGAAUGGAAGCUAUUCUGAAGUGCUAUGAAAAGAAAGUCACUAAAGAUGGAGUCCACCUCGUUUCCUUGUGAUUCUGACAGACUGAAGACUGUAUCCCCUCAAAAAAGCAGGUGGGGCAAUAUGGAGCAUUUACACCAAAACUGAAGUUUUUAAACCACAUAGAAGACAGUGGAAAGAAGCCUAAGUUCCUACCAGAAGAACACAGCAAAGGAACAGGGUUUGUGACUGAUGGUCUGUCCUUGCCUGAAGAACCGGAGGGAUACAGGAUCUGGCACACAGUCAUGGCCUGGGGGGCAGAACAGCAGAUGGAUCACCUUGGCUGUGUGGCAGUUGCCUUGUCCUUGCUUACAGCAAGAGCCUUGUGGUGCAAGGAUGGAAUGUUCCUGUCAAUCCAGCAAAUGUUCCAGGGUGUCCUCCAUUUAAUUAGGCCUAGGAACACUAUUUUCCCCAACAUCCAUAAAUUACUUAUUCCCAUGAAGUGUGACUUCUGUUUUUAAUCACUUAUGAAAACAGUACUAGAUACAGCCAUGCUAAGUUUAAUAAAUAGGCAUUUUAUAUUUUAAUAAAUAGGCAUUGUAUCGAGCUGCUGAAAACCUGCUGGGCUGAAAGCAUGGGCUGAAGGUGGAGCUGGGGGCAGCCAGGUUGUGUGGUGAGGGAUCAGCGUGAUCCUGUGCAGUUCAUGUCUUUUAGAGCCAUUAGGGAAAGAAAUGGUGAAAUUUUAGGCCUAAACAUUUCUCUGUUAAUUCCUACUGCAUCUUGAGAUGGGGUACAGUGUCUCUCAGCUGUUUGUAAGUAUUUAAAAUACCUUCUCCUCUUUGCUAUGUGACUGCAGCAGAUUGCCUGCCUUAUCCUGGGAGAUAAAGGCAUGCUGGCUGCAGUGGAAGAUAAUGCUUCCCAGGGAGUUUGUGUUUCAUUGCACAAUCAAUUGUCUUGCAAGGUCCUUGGGGUGUGAUUAUCUUAAGUUUCAGCUUGA